GGCUCGGUAGCUUAGUUGGUAAAGCGCUCGUCUAGCAUACAAGAGUCCUGGGUUCAAAUCCCAGCCGAGCAA
rfam:Aedes aegypti strain Liverpool supercont1.618 genomic scaffold, whole genome shotgun sequence.